rfam:Myotis lucifugus cont2.20740, whole genome shotgun sequence.
GGCAGUUCUCAGGUGAUGUACCCUGGAAUCAGGCUCCUUCCUCUCUGGUUCCAGGUGCGUCACCCGAGAACCACA